rnacentral:rRNA from 1 species
CUAGCGACCUGGGGGUGCCUAUACAUGCAAGUCGAACGCGUUGGCCCAAUUGAUUGAUGGUGCUUGCACCUGAUUGAUUUUGGUCGCCAACGAGUGGCGGACGGGUGAGUAACACGUAGGUAACCUGCCCAGAAGCGGGGGACAACAUUUGGAAACAGAUGCUAAUACCGCAUAACAGCGUUGUUCGCAUGAACAACGCUUAAAAGAUGGCUUCUCGCUAUCACUUCUGGAUGGACCUGCGGUGCAUUAGCUUGUUGGUGGGGUAACGGCCUACCAAGGCGAUGAUGCAUAGCCGAGUUGAGAGACUGAUCGGCCACAAUGGGACUGAGACACGGCCCAUACUCCUACGGGAGGCAGCAGUAGGGAAUCUUCCACAAUGGGCGCAAGCCUGAUGGAGCAACACCGCGUGAGUGAAGAAGGGUUUCGGCUCGUAAAGCUCUGUUGUUAAAGAAGAACACGUAUGAGAGUAACUGUUCAUACGUUGACGGUAUUUAACCAGAAAGUCACGGCUAACUACGUGCCAGCAGCCGCGGUAAUACGUAGGUGGCAAGCGUUAUCCGGAUUUAUUGGGCGUAAAGAGAGUGCAGGCGGUUUUCUAAGUCUGAUGUGAAAGCCUUCGGCUUAACCGGAGAAGUGCAUCGGAAACUGGAUAACUUGAGUGCAGAAGAGGGUAGUGGAACUCCAUGUGUAGCGGUGGAAUGCGUAGAUAUAUGGAAGAACACCAGUGGCGAAGGCGGCUACCUGGUCUGCAACUGACGCUGAGACUCGAAAGCAUGGGUAGCGAACAGGAUUAGAUACCCUGGUAGUCCAUGCCGUAAACGAUGAGUGCUAGGUGUUGGAGGGUUUCCGCCCUUCAGUGCCGGAGCUAACGCAUUAAGCACUCCGCCUGGGGAGUACGACCGCAAGGUUGAAACUCAAAGGAAUUGACGGGGGCCCGCACAAGCGGUGGAGCAUGUGGUUUAAUUCGAAGCUACGCGAAGAACCUUACCAGGUCUUGACAUCUUGCGCCAACCCUAGAGAUAGGGCGUUUCCUUCGGGAACGCAAUGACAGGUGGUGCAUGGUCGUCGUCAGCUCGUGUCGUGAGAUGUUGGGUUAAGUCCCGCAACGAGCGCAACCCUUGUUACUAGUUGCCAGCAUUAAGUUGGGCACUCUAGUGAGACUGCCGGUGACAAACCGGAGGAAGGUGGGGACGACGUCAGAUCAUCAUGCCCCUUAUGACCUGGGCUACACACGUGCUACAAUGGACGGUACAACGAGUCGCGAACUCGCGAGGGCAAGCAAAUCUCUUAAAACCGUUCUCAGUUCGGACUGCAGGCUGCAACUCGCCUGCACGAAGUCGGAAUCGCUAGUAAUCGCGGAUCAGCAUGCCGCGGUGAAUACGUUCCCGGGCCUUGUACACACCGCCCGUCACACCAUGAGAGUUUGUAACACCCAAAGUCGGUGGGGUAACCUUUUAGGAGCCAGCCGCCUAAAGGGGAACAAAU